rnacentral:rRNA from 1 species
UACAUGUGGGGCAAGCGUUGUUCGGAAUUACUGGGCAUAAAGGGUGCGUAGGCGGCUUGUUAAGUCAGGGGUGAAAGUUUUCGGCCCAACCGGAAAAUUGCCUUUGAUACUGGCGAGCUGGAGUGCGUGAGGGGUGACCGGAACGAGUGGUGUAGCGGUGAAAUUCGUAGAUAUUCGCAAGAACACCAGUGGCGAAGGCGGCUCACUGGCCCGGUACUGACGCUGAGGUGCGAAAGCGUGGGGAGCAAACAGG